rnacentral:rRNA from 1 species
CCCUUAGAUGUUCUGGGCCGCACGCGCGCUACACUGAUGCAUUCAACGAGUUUUUCCUGGUCCGAGAGGAAUGGGUAACCUUUUGAAAGUGCAUCGUGCUAGGGAUAGACUAUUGCAAUUAUUGGUCUUCAACGAGGAAUUCCUAGUAGACGUAGUUCAUCAGACUGCAUCGAUUACGUCCCUGCCCUUUGUACACACCGCCCGUCGCUCCUACCGAUUGGAUGAUCCGGUGAGCUCUUCGGACUGCGCGGUCUGCAGUUUCUGCGUUCCGUGCGGAAAGUUGCGCAAACCUUAACAUUUAGAGGAAGGAGAAGUCGUAACA